rnacentral:misc_RNA from 1 species
GAAAUGCGAUACGCAAUGCGAAUUGCAGAAUUCCGCGAAUCAUCAGAUUCUUGAACGCAACUGGCGCUGGAGGGAUAUCCUUCCAGCAUGUCUGUUUCAGUGUCUGAAAACAUCCUAAAUCAUUCUAAUGUGUUUGACAAGGAAUAAAUUAUAUAUAUCUCUUGAUAUUAUAUUUAUCUUCCAAGUCUUACAUGAAAGAUGUAUGUGUGGGUCUUUGGAUCCAUCGAAUUUGUCAUCGAUUCCUUCGAUGUUUUCGAUCGGAUGUCACCAAUUACUUGGAUACACAUAGGAUAUUUAACCAUCACUUUAUUAUUUGUAUCUGAAAUCAGGCAAGAAAACCCGCUGAACUUAAGC